rnacentral:rRNA from 1 species
AUUGAACGCUGGCGGAAUGCUUUACACAUGCAAGUCGAACGGUAGAGGGGGCAACCCCUUGAGAGUGGCGAACGGGUGAGUAAUAUAUCGGAACGUGCCCAGUCGUGGGGAUAACGUAGCGAAAGUUACGCUAAUACCGCAUACGAUCUAAGGAUGAAAGCGGGGGAUCGCAAGACCUCGCGCGAUUGGAGCGGCCGAUAUCAGAUUAGGUAGUUGGUGAGGUAAAGGCUCACCAAGCCAACGAUCUGUAGCUGGUCUGAGAGGACGACCAGCCACACUGGAACUGAGACACGGUCCAGACUCCUACGGGAGGCAGCAGUGGGGAAUUUUGGACAAUGGACGCAAGUCUGAUCCAGCCAUUCCGCGUGCAGGAUGAAGGCCCUCGGGUUGUAAACUGCUUUUGUACGGAACGAAAGGUUUCUAUUAUACUAGGAGCUCAUGACGGUACCGUAAGAAUAAGCACCGGCUAACUACGUGCCAGCAGCCGCGGU